GAGUUUGAUCUUGGCUCAGGAUGAACGCUGGCGGCGUGCUUAACACAUGCAAGUCGAACGAAGCACCUUGACUGAGACCUUCGGGUGGAUUUUAAGGUGACUGAGUGGCGGACGGGUGAGUAACGCGUGGGUAACCUGCCUUACAGAGGGGGAUAACAGUUAGAAAUGACUGCUAAUACCGCAUAAGCGCACAGAGGCGCAUGCUUCAGUGUGAAAAACUCCGGUGGUAUAAGAUGGACCCCGCGUUGGAUUAGCUAGUUGGCAGGGCAGCGGCCUACCAAGGCGACGAUCCAUAGCCGGCCUGAGAGGGUGGACGGCCACAUUGGGACUGAGACACGGCCCAGACUCCUACGGGAGGCAGCAGUGGGGAAUAUUGCACAAUGGGGGAAACCCUGAUGCAGCGACGCCGCGUGAAGGAAGAAGUAUCUCGGUAUGUAAACUUCUAUCAGCA
rnacentral:rRNA from 1 species